AGCUGUUGAGCUACUGUGAUCCACUGAUAGGUCUAUUCUAGACCUUUUUAUGUUUGUUUAGUAGUUGUUUGGUUUUAGAUACACAAUGGAAAGUUGCUGACCUAAACACGUGGAAAUACCACUUGAAACAGAUGC